AUGCGGGUCCGGAUCGUCGAGAUGAUGGAGAACGAGACAACGGCAAGAAUCACGAAUCAACUCAAGGUAGCGGCGAUGAAGGACGAGACGACGGCGAGACUCAUAGAACACGUCGAGGCAGCCGCUCGCCGGAUCGAUGGUCGUUAUCUACGUUGGGAGCAACAACUCCCGAUGGUUCUCUUUUUUGCCUUGAUUCUGUUAGCGUUGCUCCUUUUAGUGCUAAUCAUCCAAAUUAAAGGCCUCUCCAUCGUCGGCAUUUUGUCCACUAUGUACCUCGCUAGCUUACUAUCUACUGUGACAUUUUUGUCUGGUCGUUGA
rnacentral:rRNA from 1 species